AUUGAACGCUGGCGGCAUGCCUUACACAUGCAAGUCGAACGGUAACGGGCCUUCGGGUGCCGACGAGUGGCGCACGGGUGAGUAAUACAUCGGAACGUGCCCGAUCGUGGGGGAUAACGAGGCGAAAGCUUUGCUAAUACCGCAUGCGAUCUACGGAUGAAAGCAGGGGACCGCAAGGCCUUGCGCGGACGGAGCGGCCGAUGGCAGAUUAGGUAGUUGGUGGGAUAAAAGCUUACCAAGCCGACGAUCUGUAGCUGGUCUGAGAGGAUGAUCAGCCACACUGGGACUGAGACACGGCCCAGACUCCUACGGGAGGCAGCAGUGGGGAAUUUUGGACAAUGGGCGCAAGCCUGAUCCAGCCAUGCCGCGUGCAGGAUGAAGGCCUUCGGGUUGUAAACUGCUUUUGUACGGAACGAAAAGCCUUCUUUUAAUACAGGAGGGUCAUGACAGUACCGUAAGAAUAAGCACCGGCUAACUACGUG
rnacentral:rRNA from 1 species